rnacentral:rRNA from 1 species
GACGAACGCUGGCGGCGUGCUUAACACAUGCAAGUCGAACGGAAAGGCCCUGCUUUUGUGGGGUGCUCGAGUGGCGAACGGGUGAGUAACACGUGAGUAACCUGCCCUUGACUUUGGGAUAACUUCAGGAAACUGGGGCUAAUACCGGAUAGGAGCUCCUGCUGCAUGGUGGGGGUUGGAAAGUUUCGGUGGUUGGGGAUGGACUCGCGGCUUAUCAGCUUGUUGGUGGGGUAGUGGCUUACCAAGGCUUUGACGGGUAGCCGGCCUGAGAGGGUGACCGGCCACAUUGGGACUGAGAUACGGCCCAGACUCCUACGGGAGGCAGCAGUGGGGAAUAUUGCACAAUGGGCGGAAGCCUGAUGCAGCAACGCCGCGUGCGGGAUGACGGCCUUCGGGUUGUAAACCGCUUUCGCCCGUGACGAAGCGUGAGUGACGGUAAUGGGUAAAGAAGCACCGGCUAACUACGUG